CCCCUUCCAGUCAAGGUGUCACAUAAAAUUCGAAAUUAUCACAUUCGGUCAUCACAAACUGAAUAAAAUAUGAUUGAGAAUGACACAAUAAAGACAAUGACUUAAAAUGAUGCAAUAAAUCUAAUAAGUAAAGAAAUAACGUAUAUAAAAACAUACAUUUAAACCAAAUUUACAUACUUCCUGAGUGCCGCAAUGAAUGCUGGGAAGAUAAACAAUUUCCCCGCUCAGCAUUCCUCAAGCGUAUGCUGUAAUACACACAGACCAAAUAUAGAAAUGCUUCAAAAACUUCUUAAAAUACAUCAUGAAGAUUGUAAAAAGUGUCAGAAUGUCAUUUAAUUUUUUUUCCAGAACGUCAUUAAAUCAUAAAAAGGAGCAAGAGCGGAAGCCAUUUUUUAUUGAAUGUAAUGUCGAAGGAAGAGCUCCCACCAUGCUUUGCGGCACUAAGAAUCGAGUUUAAAUGCAUGUUUUGUGACACUUAUUUUCUUAUUU